GGGCAAGUAGAUCAGCGGAAGAUCGCCGCCUUCGCAAGGCGGAAGCCGGGGGUUCGAAUCCCCCCUUGUCCA
rnacentral:tRNA from 1 species